ACAAUUUUCAUUUUCAUAACUUGUUAUUACUUGCAAACUUCAGUUUUCAAUAGUGUCUGUUUGUUAAGAUUAUUUUGGGUCCUAGUGCAAACUCAUGCUCUUCUGAACAAAAUCUGAUCUAGGUGGUCGAGUACCCUUCACGAACAACACUGCUUGAUUCAUGUGGAUGCCUUGAAGAUGACUGAUCGAAGGGAACCGCAAGCUCUAGAUAUCGGUGCACAUGAGAUUCUCCCUGAUGCGGACAUCGCUCUUGCUGCUGGACUAGACGAGCUGGCGGACCAUAUCAGAAGCAAAAGAUCAAACUCAACGGAGGAACCAUCCACCCGAUCAACUUGUAGCUUACCUUCUGUUUCACCACGACCUUAUGAAGACUCCAUGGUGUUUAGAAGCUCCCAAAACGACAAGAUUUCUGUUUAAACGUAAAGACUCAAAGAAAAGAAAACUUUCUUUUUUCGGUGA